UACAGAGGUCUCAAGCGUUGUUCGGAUUCAUUGGGCGUAAAGGGUGCGUAGGUGGCGCCGUAAGUCGGAUGUGAAAUUUCGGAGCUUAACUCCGAAACUGCAUUCGAUACUGCGGUGCUUGAGGACUGGAGAGGAGACUGGAAUUCAUGGUGUAGCAGUGAAAUGCGUAGAUAUCGUAAGGAAGACCAGUGGCGAAGGCGGCCAACUGGACGAAUACUGACGCUGAGACUCGAAAGCGUGGGGAGCAAACAGG
rnacentral:rRNA from 1 species